AUGCCCCUUUUCUGGGCUCUGCCCUCGGACCUUUCCUUUCCUGACUCCCUCCUCCUGAGGAGCCCACCAACAGCUUCUCCAGGACUCUCUUCAUCUCUGAGAACAAGAAAACAUCCACACCCUGGGAUGAAAACUCGCGGGACCCAACCCAUUUGGACCUUGUGUUUCCCCUACUUGAAAUCCAAGGGCCACCAGACUGUUCCUGAAAGACCUGGUGACUCUCUAGUAGCCCAACCUGGUGAUCAAAUCUACAUCAACAGAAAGGACCCUCUGCUACAGCUGUCAAGGUCACCACAAAGAGCCACUGGAUUCAUCACUCACACUUCAAGCCUGAAGGACCGGAAACUCCAGCUAAGUGGACUACAGAAAGUCUUCUGACCCUUUGAGAGUCAAACUCCAAAGAUGCGAGCCAUAAGACUGUUUAUAUGUGGGUUACUAUUGGGACCAAUAAUCGAACCCAGAUGGUGGACACCUUAAACCUUGAUUCUGGUUCUUCAUGCUGGUGGAGACAGUGACCUAAGUCCCUCACUUUGGAAAACGUUCAGAGCUUUGGACUUUGCAUUCAAUCUGUACGUUUCCCUUUGAAGCACUCCCCAUUUCAAAUCAAUUGUAAUUCAACUGUAUGUACUUUUAGAUAAGAAAGAUGACCAGGAAUCAAGGACUUGAUUCAUGUACUAAAACCAGUGGGGAGUGUUGUAGCUUAGCAUAACGCCAUCUUGUGCCCUGAAUUUGACCCAGAAGAGUGAAAAAUUACUCAGGGUACAAGCCCCAUGAGACAAGCAGAAUGAGCUGCGCCCACAAGAGAAAAGUUAAUCUGCUCAACAAAGAAACAAGAUAUAGGUGUCAACUAAAAAUUAAUGUAAGAGUCUGGCUAAAUUGUUUCCAACAGAAUGUCUUUUUUGUGACUUUCUGUUUUAAAAGCUUUGUAACUUUCCAGUUCAGUGCCACUUGUUUUGACUCUGAAACAGGUCUACAGGUGGUCGCAAAAUUCAGCUAAUAAAAUUCCAAAUUUAGCAAUUAGG
rnacentral:lncRNA from 1 species